UACGUAGGGGGCAAGCGUUGUCCGGAUUUAUUGGGCGUAAAGAGCGUGUAGGCGGCUUGGUAGGUCCGCUGUGAAAACUCGAAGCUCAAACUCGAGAUGUCGGCGGAAACCACUUGGCUAGAGUCCGGAAGAGGAGAGUGGAAUUCCAGGUGUAGCGGUGAAAUGCGUAGAUAUCUGGAGGAACACCGGUGGCGAAGGCGGCAUCCUGGACCGGUAUUGACGCUGAUGCGCGAAAGCCAGGGGAGCAAACGGG
rnacentral:rRNA from 1 species